GAUGAAGAACGUAGCGAAAUGCGAUACUUGGUGUGAAUUGCAGAAUCCCGUGAACCAUCGAGUCUUUGAACGCAAGUUGCGCCUGAAGCCUUUAGGCUAAGGGCACGUCUGCCUGGGCGUCACACAUCGCGUCACCCCAAGCCAUGCUCAUUGAG
rnacentral:rRNA from 1 species